UACGAAGGGGGCUAGCGUUGUUCGGAAUUACUGGGCGUAAAGCGUGCGCAGGCGGCUCAUCAAGUCAGAGGUGAAAGCCCAGGGCUCAACCCUGGAACUGCCUUUGAAACUGUUGGGCUUGAGUACGGGAGAGGUGAGUGGAAUUCCGAGUGUAGAGGUGAAAGGCGUAGAGAUGCGGAAGAACACCAGUGGCGAAGGCAGCUCACUGGACCGUAACGGACGCUCAUGCACGAUAGCGUGGGUAGCAAACAGG
rnacentral:rRNA from 1 species